UGGGGAAUAUUGGACAAUGGGGGCAACCCUGAUCCAGCAAUGCCGCGUGUGUGAAGAAGGUCUUCGGAUUGUAAAGCACUUUCGACGGGGACGAUGAUGACGGUACCCGUAGAAGAAGCCCCGGCUAACUUCGUGCCAGCAGCCGCGGUAAUACGAAGGGGGCUAGCGUUGCUCGGAAUGACUGGGCGUAAAGGGCGUGUAGGCGGUUUACACAGUCAGAUGUGAAAUCCCCGGGCUUAACCUGGGAGCUGCAUUUGAUACGUGUAGACUAGAGUGUGAGAGAGGGUUGUGGAAUUCCCAGUGUAGAGGUGAAAUUCGUAGAUAUUGGGAAGAACACCGGUGGCGAAGGCGGCAACCUGGCUCAUGACUGACGCUGAGGCGCGAAAGCGUGGGGAGCAAACAGGAUUAGAUACCCUGGUAGUCCACGCUGUAAACGAUGUGUGCUAGAUGUUGGGUAACUUUGUUAUUCAGUGUCGCAGUUAACGCGUUAAGCACACCCC
rnacentral:rRNA from 1 species